CCUUCUUUCUCUAGCCCGUCUUUUGCUAUUAGGUGACAGAUGGAACGCUGACCUGUGUCUUCGUCUCUAACAUAGAGUUGCAGCAGCAGACCAAGGUCUGUCUUUUUCUUUUUCUCCUGCCUGUGCUCGGUCAUCUCUAGGCCUCGUUGCUUUUAUUUUCCUUGCCAUUUAUUUGCUGAAGAAAGUAGGCUCUUUGUGUCACAGAACUGUGAACACUGGCUGUGCCCCUUUCUUAUCUGCAGCUCUGCUCGGAUGAUAGCUCACGUGUAGAGUUAUCACCGUGAACACCUCUCCUCCCAGCCUGGCAGCAUCCACGUCUGAUGUCCCAUCACACUGAGGAAGACCAGGUCCCUAACUGUUCUGAGGCAACAGUAACAAGGAGAGCUCGACCCUCUUGCUGUCUAGUCUAGUCCAGUCUGUUCACUUAAAACAAACCCAACAGGACACUGCCUGCCACCCUAGUAUCAGUGACCAUAAACUAUGUGACUGUGUGCUAGCCCCCUGUGUGUCUGUGGACAAUGUGACCGUGUGCUAGCUCCCUGUGUGUCUGUGGACAGUGUGACCGUGUGCUAGCCCCCUUUGUGUCUGUGGACAGUGUGACCGUGUGCUAGCCCCCUGUGUGUCUGUGGACAGUGUGACCGUGUGCUAGCCCCUUUGUGUCUGUGGACAGUGUGACCGUGUGCUAGCCCCCUGUGUGUCUGUGGACAGUGUGACCGUGUGCUAGCCCCUUUGUGUCUGUGGACAGUGUGACCGUGUGCUAGCCCCCUGUGUGUCUGUGGACAGUGUGACCGUGUGCUAGCCCCCUGUGUGUCUGUGGACAGUGUGACCGUGUGCUAGCCCCCUUUGUGUCCGUGGACAAGUGGAGCUAGUGGAAAGAACAUGAACCUAGGAGCCAGCUGGCUUCUGAUUUGAAUUCCAACCUUAAUUCUGCUAAAUACACACCUUUUCUCCAAGUCUGUGUCUGACUCCCUACAGAGGAGGACCAGGUCUCUCUCACCAGGCUGCUGAAAUGCACCUGCCAUGCAGUGUGAAUUCAACAAUUGUUCCUUUCUUUUCCUGCUUCUGUUAAAAAUGGGAAUUGUAAACAACAACAACAACAAACCCUCUCAUAUCCACAGCUUGUUUAAAUCCGUACACAAACAUGACAUUUACCGGUUUCAUAAACAGUGGUGAAGGUUUUCAAACAUGCUCAAGAAGGCACUCUGAGAAAGGGGAAGGUAUGAGGGCAGGAAAUACCAUGCUCUUCCCCACCUUGUAGUCAGAAAGUUCAAACAACUCCUCCCAAAGCCAGCAUGAUCUGUUUCUGCCCGGAAACAUGCUGCGCUCUGGACUCUGCUGACUUGAGGAGGCAUUUCUUCUAGCAGAAGAUGAGUUCACUGUAAAUGACUCGGAAACAUAUGGAUGAAAUUUCCCUAAAGCCACUCCAGGGAUUAGGAAUUAGGAAAAGAGUGCUUGGCAAAAUGCAUUUGGGGUUUUGCCAGGGUCGAAACCAACUGAGAAAUAGUUAGGACACAAGGCGGUCUCCAGUACUGCCAAGUUUAUCCAUCUUUGCAAUACGGGGAUUUAUAAUUAGAGUCACUCUGAAAAGCAUGGCCUCACAAGUAGCCGAGUACAAAAUAAGCCUUUGUUUUCAACAUCUCAGAGAGGUUGCUGGUCUCCAGAUGGAUGUUACAGUCCCUCAGCCGUCAGCAUCCUGAAAGCCACAGUGUUGCACAUCUACACCAAGUGCCUGGUGUCCUCUAGGGCCUGUUCCAGUGAGGAGUCACUCUGAAUUCCCGGAUGAGGGGAACAAAUCUUGAUGGGUGUUCUCUAAUUACCAUGGAGAACUGUGUGAUUCGGCAGUUUCCGGCUGCAUAAGCUUCCUGUCCAGUUAGCUGUGUCAUCUUCCACAACAGUCUGCCUUCUAUGAGCUUCUUUGUUAAAAUCAGCCCAGUGGAAGGGGGUAUGUGUGAGAAUACAGCGAGAGAGGAGCACUUGAAAAUGUUGGAGGCGCCAGCACAAGAUUUCAAGAAUCGAGGGCUGUAGGACUGAGCAGUUUCAAAACCUCGAGUCUGGAUGAAAUCUCAAAAUCCUUCAACUCGACGGCACCUGACCUGUCUGCUGACCUUCUGACUUCUUGCUCACUCACUAAACCAAGUUUCCCCACAGCUGUGCACCAGUUUUUCUCCAGCAGUCACCAGCCCAGCUCCUAUCACACGGCAGUGGACAGAUGUAGCCCCUGCCCACACAUGGUAGGAAAGAUCGGCAUGAAAGGCAUGGAUAUGUAAAUCCAAAUCAUGACACAAAUACCACAAAAGGCAGGAUCAGGCUGAAGGUUGGCCAGACGGAGUUGGAGUCACUGCAGUGAUUUCUGACCCAGAACUUCUCCCCUCCAGCCUGGCUACCCCUGGCUACUCUAAGGAACUAAGUCAUUGGAGGCCUCCCUUAAAAAUACCUAUUUACCUGAAAGGAGGUCAGAACCCUAGAGCAUCAGCUAGCUGAUGAGUUUAUCUAGCUGUGUCCUCAGAAUGCAGAGGAUGGCUGGAGAUGGACUCUAUUGACUAUAUAAGUGUGGGGAGGUUGCUUGAUGGCCUGAGGAGUGUUGCCAGGAACACCCAGAAGAGCAAGUGAAGUGAAGGCCAGGCCACUGACUCUCUCCACUCGCGUCACUUCCACAUGUUCAGUUGCUUUUCGUUCCUUUUCCCUGUCUUGACCAGUGGAACAUGCUAUUCACAGUAAGUGUUAGCUCACGGCUAAACACUCAUGCUGUGACUACUGAAUCUUUCUCUUUCCAUCCAUUUUGUGAAGAGAAAAUGAGUGAAAACAAAACAUCACCAAGAUGUUUCCAUGGUUGCAAUUGUGGAAGUGAUAUUAGCCCAGGGUGUACCUUGGAGAGAGGGAGGCUGUCCUAUCUAUUUAAAGAGUUAAGACUCUUGUGGGGCACUAGAUGGCAACAUUUCCCUAAAUCUAAACACAGCAAGGCAAGGCCCGGCGGGCAGGUCAACCCCACAGAGCUGCAAGUCCCAGCACAUACAAUGUGACACCCAAGGUCAAGGAGGGAAGACUGGAGCCAGAGCUGACGCAGGCAGAGCCUAACAUAGCUCAUCACUGGAGUCCUGUUAAUUGUCGGUCAUUAACACUGUCACACCACCAUCAUCACACUAACACCAUCAUUAUGAAUACCAUCACUACUACCAACAUCACCACCAUUAUUAUCACCACUGCUGCCAUGAUCACCAUUAUCACUACCACCAUCACUACGACCACAUUACUACCAUGACCAAACCUGUCACCGUCACCACCAUCACCAUUAUUAUUUCCACCACUACUGCUAUUACAUUAGCACAACUACUAUCACUGUCUAUUAUUACUACUAUCACAGGCUCCCCAACAUGGCUAUUAUCACCACCACUACCAACACCGCCCACCCCACGAUUAUCAUCAUUACCGUUACUACUACUCAGUCUCUCAUGCUCUAUUGGUUUUUGUUUUUUGUUUUGUUUUGUUUUGUUUUAUAUACUUAAAAUGGAGGGACUGGAAAGAUGGCUCAGUGGUUAAGAGUACACACUGUUCUUGCAGAAGACCCAAGUUCAAUUCCCAGCACCCAUAUCAGGGAGCUCCCAACUGCCUGGAACUUUAGCUAUAGGUGAUCUGAUACCCCUGUGACUUCCUCCUUCUCCUACACACACACACACACACACACACAAGCACACACAAGCACACACACACAAGCACACACACUCACAUAAAUAAGUAACAAUUAAAAUUAAAAAGAAAAUGGUUUUAAAAUAUAAAGGAAACUUCAUUUAGACUGGGAAGGGAGAUCUGGUUAGAGACAAAAGAUAAAAAUGUCUUUUAAAUUUUUUCUUUUUCCAAUUAUAUGUCACAGUUAGAUUGAUAAACUGCUGUCUGGUGUAGAAAUUUGGGGAACUGCUUUAAUGAAUAGAUAACAAUGGUUUCUAUUUGCAUUUUUUGUUAGAUGCUUAGUUGCUACUUCAGCAAUUGUCCAGGUAGGCAUGCUAUUGUUAUGAUGAGACACCAUGACCAAAAGCAAGUUGAGGAAGAAAGGGUUUAUCUGGCUCACACUUCCACAUUGUAGCCCAUCACUGAAGGGAGUCAGGGCAGGAACUCAAGCAGGGCAGGAACCUGGAGGCAGGAGCUGAUGCAGAAACCGUGGAGGAAUGCUGCUUACUGGCUUUUUUCUUUUUAUUUUUAUUUGAAUUAAUUUAUUUUUAUGUGCAUUGGUGUUUUGCCAUGUGUGUUGGAUCCCCUGGAACUGGAAUUACAGACAGUUGUGAGCUGACAUGUGGGUGGUGAGAAUUGAACCCCGGUCCUUUGGAAGAGCAGUCAGUGUUCUUAACCACUGAGCCAUCUCUCCAGCUCCUUUGCCUUUUUUCUUGUGUCUUGCUCAGCCUCCUUUCUUGCAGAACUCAGGACCACCAGUCCAGGGGUGACACCACCCACAAUGGUUGACCCUCCCACGUCAAUCACUAAUUAAGAAAAUGCCAUACAGGAUUGCCUACGGCCAGAUCUAAUGGAGGCAUUUUCUCAGCUGAGGCUCCCUCGUCUCAGAUGAUGACUAUAGUUUGUGUCAAGCUGACGUUAGACGAGCCAACAGGACAAUAUUUGAAAACAGUGUUCUGUGUGGACUGAAAUGCCCCUCUGGAACUGUGGUUGCGAUAUCAAUGUAGUUAGCACACUCUCUGCUCAGCAGCCACCCCCACUUCCCAGUCCCCGUCCCUUCAAUUGGUCAGCUGUCAUCGCUGUAUUUCGGCAUUCCUGAGAAAGUACACCAACUGACCCCUGGAGCAGAGUGGAAGAACUCUUGACAUAGAGAAAUAUUUGCUAACCUUCCCAUUGAAUUGGGUUGAUCAAGUGAACUGUUCCUUGUGGACCAGAAGCUGAACUUCAGUGAAAGAACACAAUCAAGGUGUCUGUGACGAAAGGGAAGAAGGCGCCAAGGGUGGUCGUGGGCGGAAGCUGGCCGCUGGCCGCCUGACUACCUUUUUGUACUUUAAAACUGUGUCACCCCAGCGACCACUUGACAAAAGUAGAUUUUUUUCAACCAUAAUUCCCGUCAUGUAUCCAACCAAACAAGUUAAUUUCUAACAUUUCUCUGCAUAGCUUCGGUCUCCAGGGAUACAACAGUAAAUAAGACAUCCGUCCAAAUGAUGCUUACACACUGGUGAAGAAGAAAAGUGGAUGAAGGAUUAGUUAAGUAUGAUUCAGGCUUGAUAAGGGCCAGUACAAAAGUGAAGCAGGAUCAGAAACAGUGAGAGGUAAUGCUGAGUGUGUGUUUGGUGUGUAUUUGUGCGCAUGCAUGUGUACGUGCGUGUCUACGUACGUUUCCUCUCACUGGCUUAUUCAAAUUCACCAAUAGAGGCUACUUGAAAGAGAUUUGAACACAGAGAGCUAACUAAAAAGAGAUGGUGAAUCAUGUAGUGUCCCUGAGCUAAGACUAAAGCACAUAUCACCAUGACUGUGGACUGACCAACCUGAUGAUCAGAACCCAGACUUCGUGCAGCCGAGCACCUACUGUCCUACUGAGCUACACGCUCCAUCGACUUGGUUUCUUUCUAGGUGACCAUAGUUACACCAAGAGGAUCGAAAGAACAAAGUGUUAUGGUCUGAACGGACGUGCCCUUCCAAAAUUCAUGUGUUGAAAUUUGAACCUCAAGGUGGCGUUAAGAUGCGGGACCUUUGUGGAAGUGUUUAUAAAGGGACUGUACCUGCAUGACCAGAGUUAACGCCGGACAAAGGAGGCUUCGGAAAGCUGCUGCACCUUCCAUCCCUUCUGCCGUGCUGAAUCAGAAAGAAAGGCCACACUCUCAAAAGCAGAGUGACCUCACUAGACACUGGAUCUGCCGUGGCCUGGAUCUUAGGGUGCCCAGACAGUUAAGUUCUCAGCAGGUGCUGAGGCAGAAUUUCCAGUUUUUUUUUUUUUUUUUAAGUUUAUCAAACCCUGUGAUUGGAAGGGGAAAGAAACAUUAUCAGAAACAAAUGCAAAUGGCAUGAUGGCAGUUAAUAUGCAUGGACAGCUGGUUCUGCUAAAAACUAGCUAAAAAUAAUUGCUACCCCAUAGCCCCAUAGAGAUAUCUGCAGACUUCUCUUAUGCUUACUAUAUGUGUUUUCUCUUGCUAGUAUACCCAAAGCGUUAUGUGGCUACUAAUUUAUUUUCUCAUUGACAGAGCUUUAAAAUACAUAAAUUGAAGGUUAUUAUUAAUGGUAAAUAACUGCAAAAUUUGAAUCUGCUUUUGCUAGAAUAACUUAAGUCCAAUGAAAUUUAAGGCAAACUUAAGAGAAAGCGACGUAUCAACACUGGGCUGAGGAAAGUGAACAGUACCGCCAAGCUGACCAAAGUGAACAGUACCGCCAAGCUGACCAAAGUGAACAGUACCGCCAAGCUGACCAAAGUCUCAGUGAUUGAGGCAACGCUGAGUGAACUUUGCCCUUUGGUUGUUUUGCACAGGCACAUAUGCGUGACUCUUUAUCCUUCACCUGGCUCAGUCACUGGAUAAAGGCAAUAGUGUCUCCUGGGCAUCACAGGGCUCAACUGUCACUCAUUUUCAGUGCCUUGUAAGUCUGCCUCCAUCUUAUAAACCACAUCGACUCUUACAAAGGGAAGCACUUACAAUUCGGAGGUGCCCGAUCCACUGUCAUCACGUGGGAAGCAUGGAGGCAUGCAGGCAGACACGGUGCUGGAGGAGUAGUUUGAGAAGUUCCUUAUAUCCAGACCCACAGGCAGCAAGAGGAGAGAGACCCUGGGCUGUUGUGGGAAUUCGCUCCACCAAAGACCUUGGGGUAUCUGGCUCAAAAACGGGAAUAGAUAGGAUAGGAUAAUAAGGUAAAUUAUUGUAUCUACUUGUAAACUAAUUUAGCAACUAUCAGCUUUAGAUAGUUUGUAUCGAUAUGGAUUCUUGUAUAUUGAUACAGACAUAAAAUUAUUUUUUUAUUCCUGUUUAAGAUAAUUUGUAUAUUGACACAAAUACAAAACUAUAUUUAUCAUAUUGUACAUAUGUUCCUACUGUUGUUUAAAAUAUUUUUGUAUAUUGAUACAAAUCUAAAAUUGUAUAUGUCAUACUGUAUGUAUGUUCUACUUCUGUUUAGGAUAUUUUGUAUAUGCAUACAAAUUAAGGUAUUGUCAUAUUGCACUAUACAUUUCUACCUCUGAUUAAGGUAUUUUUGUAUAUUGUCACAAAUUCAGGGUCAUUGUCCUUAUAUUGUACAUCUGUACAGACUGUUUAUUUUUAUAAUGUGAAGCCUUAGAUUUUAAGUUACUUAGGUUUAUAAGAGUUACAGGUUAAUAGUCCUAUGCUUGUCAUACUUAUAGCCAUGUUAGUUAGGUUUUCUAGACAGACAGAGAUAUAUGUCAGAUAGAUAGGUAAUCUUCAAACACUUCAUAGACCUAGAGAAUACAGCAUUGAAAUGUUUUAAUAACUUAGAAUCUUGUUGACAUGAGACAUGAUUGCUCCUGGCAGCACCAAUUCACUCUCGAGAGGACGUUGGGCAUCGAAGACACUCCAUAUGGAAUUUGUCUUCUACAUGGCAAAAGUGGCCUGUUGGGCAAAGAACUGCCCUUGCCUCAACUGCUGACAGUAAGCACGCUGUCCAGUCCGAAUGAGCAGGACACAAGAAAUAGUGCCUGCUGAACCUGAAAAUGGUCUGUCAGAUAUUCUAGACCUGUAGCCAGAAGUGGGUGCCCCAACAUUGCAGAGCAACAUGCAGUGACUGUGCAGCAGCCCGCUGUUUCUGUCACACCUUGCGUGUUUCAGAGGUCGCUUGUUUGCACUUCCUGCUCACUCAGGUAAUAUCAUUUCCCUUCUCAGGUCUUUGAGAGAGUUGAAGACUAGAUAGUUACAGUUACAAUCCUCUUGUAUUUUAACCAAGAGCAUUUCAGGUACAAGAUUUAGAUUCUUCAGGAUAGGACAGCUAUUGGAGUAAUCUCCGUAAUUUGCCAUUUACCUCUGGCCUGGACAUUUAGUAUAUGUUUUUUGCUCAAUGUUUUUCUUGCUGAUUGUAGUUCCAGUUUUUACGUUGUUACCUUUUCUGUCUUCUAGACAAUACUUGAUAAUUAUUCUCAUUAUAUAUAGCUUUGUAUUAGGUUCAGAACCUUCUUAUUUAGACAAAAAGGGGAGUGUUGUGAGAAUUCACUCCGCCAAGGACCUUGGGGUAUCUGCUUGAUGGAGGCGUGGUUUUUUUCUGGGUGACUGCUUAAAACUGAGGAGAGAGAGCACAGGCUUGCUCUCCUGGUGUGAUCAGAGACCAGAUGGCUAGUUCCACACACACACACACACACACACACACACACACACACACACGGGCAAAACGGAAGGACUCUGCAGCUGGAUCUGCAUUUUCCUGUAUCCUGUGUCUGUGAAUUUGUUUUCUCAUAGCAUCUUGAAUGCUCUCUCUAACCCAGCUUAGGAGGCAGUUGUCAACCAGCUCUCUCAUGUACUUGAAUAAAAUAAAGCUUGCUUCAACUCUG